CCUGGUGAUUGGUGCGGGGUGGAACCACCCGUUCCCUUCCCGAACACGGAAGUGAAACGCCCCAGCGCAGACGAUACUGAGGGCGAAAGCCCUUGUGGAAAAUAUGUCAUUGCCAGGA
rnacentral:rRNA from 1 species